CCUACGGGAGGCAGCAGUGAGGAAUAUUGGUCAAUGGGCGCGAGACUGAACCAGCCAAGUAGCGUGAAGGAUGACUGCCCUACGGGUUGUAAACUUCUUUUAUCAAGGAAUAAAGUGAGGCACGUGUGCCUUUUUGUAUGUACUUUAUGAAUAAGGAUCGGCUAACUCCGUGCCAGCAGCCGCGGUAAUACGGAGGAUCCGAGCGUUAUCCGGAUUUAUUGGGUUUAAAGGGAGCGUAGAUGGGUUGUUAAGUCAGUGGUGAAAGUUUGGGGCUCAACCGUAAACUUGCAGUUGAUACUGGCAGCCUUGAGUACAGUUGAGGUAGGCGGAAUGCGUGGUGUAGCGGUGAAAUGCUUAGAUAUCACGAAGAACUCCGAUUGCGAAGGCAGCAUACUAAACUGCCACUGACACUGAUGCUCGAAAGUGUGGGUAUCAAACAGGAUUAGAUACCCUUGUAGUC
rnacentral:rRNA from 1 species